GGAUUCGGGGUCAAGCGGCAAGAUUCGUUCAGGUUUGCUUCACCCUCCCAUCCAUGUCUCUUCCUCUCGAUCUCCCUCUCCUUGCUCUCACUCUUGCUUCUCCUGGCUGCAAGGAACGGAGGAGGGGGUGAACGAAUCUCAGUGAGGCUGAACGGAGGAGGGAGUUUGAGCUGAGGAUGUACGAUGCAGUUAAAUGCUGAAAAAAUUACAUGACCAUCUGAAUGACCUCAUGCACGUGCUUCAGGUGCCUAUGACGCCAAGAUCCUGUUUCACUGCUAUGAUUUUUGGUGCUCGUGAAGCAGCUGACGGCCAAACAGGUUACUUUGUUUAUACCUUGAGGUCCUGAUUGAGUUGUUUGAUAUCUGUGUGCAAAUCCUUUUUCGCUGCUAUGUUUCUUUGGCGCUCAUGAAACAGCUAACGGCCAAGUAGGUCACUUUGUACGGUGACACACUGCCUCAGGAAGAAAAUGAGGAAAAGGGCAUUAAUGCCACGCGGGAGCUCCUUCUCCUGACGCCGCUACGGUGGGCUUGUUAAGUCUGUGCUUAGUGCUUGUUAAUUUCAUCUAAAAAAUGAGAUGCAUCUUGUUCAACUUAUGUAGCUUUCUUUGCAAAUCUAUUGAGAAGUUACAUUCGACGAGGAUUCUGUGUGAACGCUUGGUUGCAAAGGAUGUUAUAUCUUGUUUACCCACUUUUCUUUUGCCAAAUUUAGUUUGUAGACUCAUGGGGUUUCUUGUGAUUCUAAUACCUGUAUUAUGGAUAUCAGUGCUCGUUGCUUGCUAUUCUGAAGCGAGUAUUGUAAAUAGAGAAAUGCUAGAGAUUACCACGCUUCAGCGUGUUUCUAAAUAUAAAAUGUAUUCUCCUAUCUUUCUUGAAAUUUAAUUAUUUUCUCAAGCAAGUGGAUAUAUGACAUCAUUUUACUCCAUUGGCAUUUUCUGGGCUGAUUAAGACUAUAUGGAAGGACACAUUAGGCAAAGUUGAUAGGUUAAAUGUGGCAGCUAUUGGUUUAGGAGGCAGACUGGCAGUGGCAGGUGUUGGGAUGUACCUGAAGAUGAAAAAUCCAUCGGUGGAGAUAGUGUUCGUGGAACCUUCAGAGAGAGUUGUGAUUUUAGUGCUCAUAUAUGAGAAAAUGCCCGAAGAGUUGCUGAAGGAGGCCCUGUCAUUGACCGGUUGAGUGGCUGUCGAGCAUUAUGUUGAAAAUUCUUCAAAGAUUGUAUGGACGGAAGGAGGUGCAGAACAGGGCAGCCCAGUGUUCUCUUAUCCAGAUUUCCGAGGGAAUCAUCCUUCCAUGACAAUGGCUAAAUCAUGUAAGUUUGGUAGCCUCCACUUCAAUAUUCUAUCUUUUAGUAUUCUAAUAAUGGAGUUGGUCCAUGUGUAAUAUUAAUUUUCCAUUAUAGAUGUUAUUCUCUUCUGAAGAUUACUGUCCGGGCACCUCCGUUUAUAUCCUGCUAUGUGAAAUAGCUGGUUCCGGUUUUCUCGUGUUACACACUUACACUGCAGACCUUUUGGAAAAUCAUGGUUUUCUUCGUUCUAUAGCACAACGACAAAUAUUGAAUUUUUUGGUGGGGCUCCUGGUCAGGUGUAAGGCCGCGACACCUGGCGUCGACUGCUGAAGGUAUGAUUUCUCGUUCUGGU